rnacentral:rRNA from 1 species
UACGAGGGGUGCAAGCGUUAUCCGGAUUCACUGGGUUUAAAGGGUGCAUAGGCGGGUUGGUAAGUCCGUGGUGAAAUCCCCAAGCUUAACUUGGGAACUGCCGUGGAUACUAUCAAUCUUGAAUAUCGUGGAGGUAAGCGGAAUAUGUCAUGUAGCGGUGAAAUGCUUAGAUAUGACAUAGAACACCAAUUGCGUAGGCAGCUUACUACACGAUCAUUGACGCUGAGGCACGAAAGCGUGGGGAGCAAACAGG